UGGUGACGUCACCCGCCCUGCCGGGCUUGGCGCCGGCCGAGCCAAAGGGGAAGACGUCAUCGGCCUCUGAGUGGGGUCCGCUGGCUGCGCUCUGGCUCGGGUCCCAUCCCCCGCCGGGCCGUCCGGCCUGCGCCUGGCGCGUCCCCGGGGAGCUGGCCCGAGCUACUCUCCGGGACCGGCAGGGAGGAGAGAGGAAGGGCGCGCGAGCAGCUGAAGGCUGACCUCGGUGUUGAGAGCGGCUGGGAGAUCAGGCCGCAUGCCACCGGCCUCCGCCUCCCUUCCCCCCGCCCUGUGCCCCUUCCCCGCGCCCCCUCCGCCGCAGAGCAGAACGGAAAGGGGUUUCCUGCGUUUUUGCAGAGAUGUGGGCCCCUUUCUCUCAUUUCCUCAUCCCCAACAGGCGAGGAAACAGGUUCUCAAGGAGAGGCUAUUUACUUGCCCAGCAUCACGCUGCUGGGGGUCGAGGGACAGAGAGGAGCCUGAAAUGAAGGUUGGAGGAAAAUUAACGAGUUUGUCCAGCCAAGAACAACCGGGCAGGGCAGUUCUUUUAUUAUCAAGCUUCUAUGUGUUUCAAGAUCUAGCACCAGAACCUGGGGAGGUCACAAGAUGCCAGUAGGUGUGGUUGGUACAGAGGUCCAGCUCAGGGAAAUAUAUUUUUUUAAGGGCUGAUAUGAGAUCAUGGAUGAAAAGCACUUUAGAACAAUGCCUGGCACAGGCAUCAUCAUCCCGCCAUGACUGGCAUUGAUUGAACACCUGUCAUACGCCAGAAACUAAACGCAGGGGUGGAUGCCACGGCAGCUAUCAGUCCUUGAACGCUGUGAUGCACCAGCUACACACACGCCACCAAAUCUCUCAUUUACAUCUCACAGCAACCUGACCAGGCUCACCAGAAGGAUGAGCGAGUAAGUUCCACGGGAUGCUCUGGCCUCAUUCUGCUGGGAUCUGAACCCAAGGGCCAGGCUCGUCGUCACAAGGUGAGGCCCAAGUCUCCACCGGCCUGUGAAGUGGGAAUUAUUAUCUCCAUUACAUUGAUUUGAAAGAAAACCCAACAACCUGGGGCCCAGAAAAGGGCAGUGAGUCAGCCUGCAUCACUCUGUUUGAGACGCUGGCCUCUGAGGAUAUCCUGCUUCUCCCUGCUUUUAUCCCGAUGGUCUGAGCCGAGGCUCUAAAGAAACGCACUGGGACUUUGGGACCCGCAGUCCCCACUCAGAGUUCCGGUCCAGUUACUCUGGGCCCACAGCUGAGCUCCAGAUAACUGAGGGUCCAGCCUUUGGCAGGACGCCUGACCUCCAGAUGACUGGGGUCCCAGCAUGGAACAAAGACGGGAGUCAAAGAAGAGGCUGGCACCCCACCCAUGGCGGGGCUCCUCAGUGAAACUCGGGGAGGGCAUUUCUCGCCAAGGAGCAGGGCACAGGCUCCUCGUUCCACUUUCAUCCUCUCUUCUUUAUGGCCCAGCACCACUUUGUCAGCUCAAUAUGAUGCUCUUCGUUUUGUAGGAAAGUGACCUCAUAUGGUUUAUCUAAGCAAGGAAGCACUGACUGGUGUCCCAGGCAAAUUGUAUCAACCAGGAUACUUUUUAAAAAUUCUAGCGGGGAAUUGCCAUUGUGGCUCAGUGGUAAUGAACCAGACUAGUAGUAUCCAUGGGUCUGCAGUUU